rnacentral:rRNA from 1 species
UACGUAGGGGGCAAGCGUUGUCCGAUUUAUUGGGCGUAAAGAGCGUGUAGGCGGCCGUACAGGUCAGCUGUGAAAACCUCGAGGCUCAACCUCGAGACGUCGGUUGAAACCGUACGGCUAGAAGAUCCGGAAGGAGGGAGAGUGGAAUUCCCGGUGUAGCGGUGAAAAUGCGCGAUAUCGGGAAGAACACCCGUGGCGAAGGCGGCCUCUCUGGGACGGUACUGACGCUGAGACGUCGGAAAGCGUGGGGAGCGAACAGG